UACGAAGGGGGCUAGCGUUGUUCGGAUUUACUGGGCGUAAAGCGCACGUAGGCGGAUCGUUAAGUCAGGGGUGAAAUCCUGGGGUUCAACCCCAGAACUGCCCUUGAUACUGGCGAUCUCGAGUCCGGAAGAGGUGAGUGGAACUCCUAGUGUAGAGGUGGAAUUCGUAGAUAUUAGGAAGAACACCAGUGGCGAAGGCGGCUCACUGGUCCGGUACUGACGCUGAGGUGCGAAAGCGUGGGGAGCAAACAGG
rnacentral:rRNA from 1 species